GUUGCCGUAGGUGAACUUGUGUUGCUGCCUGUUGGACACGCAGGCACAACGUGGCAAAGCCUCCAUCAGUCCUGACGUGUCUUCCUCACAGCAAACAGCCGCCACCUUUAGUUACUCCUUGGGGACCACGAUUUUUCUCAGCCAGCCUCCUUCACGAUCUCCUCCAAAGUGUGCUUGGCUCUCCCGGGAGAAUCGCAGCUGAGAAUGACAGCUGGACGGUUGCACCUGGCUCACCAGCUUCGCACACAGCUUGCUUUCAAGGAAGUGGGGCAGCAAACUGGCAGACCCCCGGAAAGACUCAGUUUCCCCACCUUGGCUGCAUUUAGGUGUGGCUGUGCGACUGAGUUCUGGCCAAUGAAGUGUGAGUGGGAGAGGCCACUCACUAGUUAGAAACGAGUCAACAUCACUGGGUACAAGGGCACUUAACCUGAGUCUUACGUUCCUCACCUGGAAGUUGAGAGGGUUGCCCUGGCUAAUCCUCAAGGACCCAGCCAGCCAGAGGUCUGAAGCCAGGAGAAACGUGGUGCGGGUUAAGGUCGUGGCGCCAGCUUCCACACGGUUCGUGUGCACAGUGAAGCCCAUGAGAAGUGUUCUGUUUGGAGAAGCAGCUCCGACAACUGGGAGCAAUGCAGUCAUCUGCAAAGGAAGCAGCCUUCGAAAGUGCUCCCAGCCUGUUGUCCCAAGAGGAAGGACGGCGUGAGCUCGUUUCUGAGGGCAGAUCCGCCCUGAAGGAGCACUAACUAAUUUUCCCUUUGCCCCAGUUCCUUGAACUCGUUCUCUCUCUUUAUUGUGCAUAUUUUUCUAAACACCUCAAAUCCUUUUAUGGAAUAAAGUUAGGAUAUAAAUAUGUUCAUUUUUAAAAAAAUCCUGAAAAGUGAGUUGCUUCAAACUACCAUAGAACUACCAUAUGACCUAGCGAUGCCACUUCUGGGCAUAUACGCCAAAGAAUUGAAAGCAGAGACUCGAACAGACUUUGGUACACCCGUGUUCAAAGCAGCAUCAUUCACGAUGGCCAAAAUGUGGAAACAACCCAAGCGUCCAUCAACAGAUGAAUGAUAAAAUGUGAUACACACACAGUAGUAUAUUAUUCAGACGUAAAAAGGAAUGAAAUUUUGAAACAUGCUAAAACUUGGAAGGACCUUGAAAACAUUAUGCCAGCAAUAAGCCAGACACAGAAGGGGAAAUAUUGUAUGAUUCCAUUCAUAGGAGGUACCAAGAAUAGGCCAAUUCAUAGAGACAGAAAGUGGAAUAGAGGUUACCAGGGGCUGGGGGAUGGGAGAAGAGGGAGUCAUUUAACAGACAGAGAGUUUUUG